UUAAGCAUAUCAAUAAGCGGAGGAAAAGAAACCAACAGGGAUUGCCCUAGUAACGGCGAGUGAAGCGGCAACAGCUCAAAUUUGAAAUCUGGCCUCGGCCCGAGUUGUAAUUUGCAGAGGAAGCUUUAGGCGCGGCACCUCCUGAGUCCCCUGGAACGGGGCGCCACAGAGGGUGAGAGCCCCGUAUAGUUGGAUGCCUAGCCUGUGUAAAGCUCCUUCGACGAGUCGAGUAGUUUGGGAAUGCUGCUCAAAAUGGGAGGUAAAUUUCUUCUAAAGCUAAAUACCGGCCAGAGACCGAUAGCGCACAAGUAGAGUGAUCGAAAGAUGAAAAGCACUUUGAAAAGAGGGUUAAAUAGCACGUGAAAUUGUUGAAAGGGAAGCGCUUGUGACCAGACUUGCGCCGGGCUGAUCAUCCGGUGUUCUCACCGGUGCACUCUGCCCGGCUCAGGCCAGCAUCGGUUCUCGCGGGGGGAUAAAGGCCCUGGGAACGUAGCUCCUCCGGGAGUGUUAUAGCCCGGGGUGUAAUGCCCUCGCGGGGACCGAGGUUCGCGCAUCUGCAAGGAUGCUGGCGUAAUGGUCACCAGCGACCCGUCUUGAAACACGGACCAAGGAGUCAAGGUUUUGCGCGAGUGUUUGGGUGUAAAACCCGCACGCGUAAUGAAAGUGAACGUAGGUGAGAGCUUCGGCGCAUCAUCGACCGAUCCUGAUGUUUUCGGAUGGAUUUGAGUAGGAGCGUUAAGCCUUGGACCCGAAAGAUGGUGAACUAUGCUUGGAUAGGGUGAAGCCAGAGGAAACUCUGGUGGAGGCUCGCAGCGGUUCUGACGUGCAAAUCGAUCGUCAAAUCUGAGCAUGGGGGCGAAAGACUAAUCGAACCAUCUAGUAGCUGGUUACCGCCGAA
rnacentral:rRNA from 1 species